rnacentral:misc_RNA from 1 species
GAUGAAGAACGUAGCGAAAUGCGAUAAGUAAUGUGAAUUGCAGAAUUCAGUGAAUCAUCGAAUCUUUGAACGCACCUUGCACCCUUUGGCUAUUCCGAAGGGUAUGCCUGUUUGAGUAUCAUGAACACCUCAACUCUCAUGGUUUGCCAUGAUGAGCUUGGACUUUGGGGGUCUUGCUGGCCUGUGGUCAGCUCCUCUCAAAUGGAUUAGCUUGCCAGUGUUUGGUGGCAUCACAGGUGUGAUAACUAUCUACGCUUGUGGUUUUCCACCAGGUAACCUUCAGCAAUGGGGGUUCGCUGGGGCUCAUAAAUGUCUCUCCUCAGUGAGGACAGCUCUUUGAACGUUUGAUCUCAAAUCAGGUAGGACUACCCGCUGAACUUAAGCAUAUCAAAAGCGGAGGA